rnacentral:sRNA from 1 species
GCUUGUGGACGUAUACAGAUUGGUUGAAGACGAAGUAGAUAUUCC